rnacentral:piRNA from 1 species
UCAUUACUACUGGGCUGAGGGACAGGC